rnacentral:rRNA from 1 species
UGACGAGUGGCGGACGGGUGAGUAAUGUCUGGGAAACUGCCUGAUGGAGGGGGAUAACUACUGGAAACGGUGGCUAAUACCGCAUAACGUCGCAAGACCAAAGAGGGGGACCUUCGGGCCUCUUGCCAUCAGAUGUGCCCAGAUGGGAUUAGCUUGUUGGUGAGGUAACGGCUCACCAAGGCGACGAUCCCUAGCUGGUCUGAGAGGAUGACCAGCCACACUGGAACUGAGACACGGUCCAGACUCCUACGGGAGGCAGCAGUGGGGAAUAUUGCACAAUGGGCGCAAGCCUGAUGCAGCCAUGCCGCGUGUAUGAAGAAGGCCUUCGGGUUGUAAAGUACUUUCAGCGGGGAGGAAGGUGUUGUGGUUAAUAACCACAGCAAUUGACGUUACCCGCAGAAGAAGCACCGGCUAACUCCGUGCCAGCAGCCGCGGUAAUACGGAGGGUGCAAGCGUUAAUCGGAAUUACUGGGCGUAAAGCGCACGCAGGCGGUCUGUCAAGUCGGAUGUGAAAUCCCCGGGCUCAACCUGGGAACUGCAUUCGAAACUGGCAGGCUUGAGUCUUGUAGAGGGGGGUAGAAUUCCAGGUGUAGCGGUGAAAUGCGUAGAGAUCUGGAGGAAUACCGGUGGCGAAGGCGGCCCCCUGGACAAAGACUGACGCUCAGGUGCGAAAGCGUGGGGAGCAAACAGGAUUAGAUACCCUGGUAGUCCACGCCGUAAACGAUGUCUACUUGGAGGUUGUGCCCUUGAGGCGUGGCUUCCGGAGCUAACGCGUUAAGUAGACCGCCUGGGGAGUACGGCCGCAAGGUUAAAACUCAAAUGAAUUGACGGGGGCCCGCACAAGCGGUGGAGCAUGUGGUUUAAUUCGAUGCAACGCGAAGAACCUUACCUGGUCUUGACAUCCACAGAACUUUCCAGAGAUGGACUGGUGCCUUCGGGAACUGUGAGACAGGUGCUGCAUGGCUGUCGUCAGCUCGUGUUGUGAAAUGUUGGGUUAAGUCCCGCAACGAGCGCAACCCUUAUCCUUUGUUGCCAGCG